rnacentral:lncRNA from 1 species
CUGUUGACAAGGGUACAUAUUGAAAGUAUUAAUAUUUAUAUGAAGCUAGAUGGAAUCUGUUAUCAUCAACCAAUAAAGGUUUUCCGCUGAACCGGUGCAUCUACUGAUGGCAUGUCAGUCACUGAUACUGCUAUUCGUCUAGUAGUCAAUUUAUUUGGCACUGGUACGACUUAAAAUUACAAUCUUAUGGUGAAGUUUCAGUUUUUGAACAAUUUAUUUCUACUAUUUUAGCAACAUUUUUUUUUUUUUUUAUCUCUGACGAUUUUACCUCUUAUGAUUUACCAAGAGACCAAAUGACACAAAAAAUAUCAACUAUUGGCCACCGUACGGUCUGCAAUAAUGAGUAAACCCAAUAAAACACAGAAGUCUUUUUGAAGUUAAGGUACAAAAAAUGUACAGGGUUCUAUCUUUGAAUCAAAUACAGAAGAAAAUGGCCAUAGCCUUCCAUUAACCGAAACACAUUCCACGCAUUACUGUAACACAUUCUACGGUGGUCAAUGAUUUGAUAUUGAUGCCGUAUUAAAAAAUGCUGUACUUUUUUUUAAAUAUUGCUUAUGGAUAAACAUAAGCUGAAAAUAUAUUUCAAGUUUUCCUGUUCAACAGAGAUAUAACCAAAUCUAAUCUGUACAAAUAAUGCAAUUGAUAUACUUUCGAGUACUAGUAUGUUAUUUUGGACCAUCUGUUUUAUUUGGCAAGAAUUAACAUCGCAGUGAUAUUUCAAGGCCUUUCUGGAAACAUGUGGACGCCCCUUUUUUCUCCCCGCUCAACGACGUUUCACCGGUCAACCAAUUUUUACUCCACACCUAUACAAUUAAAAUAAUAAAUGUUCAUUAACCAACUAAAAACCGCCUAAAGAUCAAAUAAUUUUUUAAGCAUAUUGCAAAAAAUCUUUCAAGUUAAUGUUGAAAGUUCACUUGUGCAGUCUAGUCAUGUCAUAUCAGUAAACUUC